ACUCAAAUGAAUUGACGGGGACUCGCACAAGCAGAGGAUUAUGUGGAUUAAUUCGACGGUAAACGAAGAACCUCACCAAGAUUUGAAACCUACACGACAUCCCUAGAAAUAGGGCCUUCGCAAGACGGGUAGGCAGGUGAUGCAUGGCCGUCGUCAGUUCGUGGUUUGAAUUGUUCCCUUAAGUGGGGUAACGAACGCAACCCUCGUCGUGUGUUACAAGUGUCACACGAGACCGCCCCGCACAGUGAAUUCAAGUUAAUUGAAUUUAGUGUGCGGGGAGGAAGAGAGGAUGACGCCAGGUCAGCAUGUCCCUCUGACAUCUUGGGCUUCACACAUAAUACAAUCGGUGGGACAAAGUGACGCAAUACAGUAAUGUGGAGCAAACCAUCAAACCCAUCGCCAGUUCGGAUAGAGGUCUGCAACUCGACCUCUUGAAGCCGGAUUUGCUAGUAAUCGCAGGUCAGCCAUACUGUGGUGAAUACGUUCUCGAGUCUUGUACACACCGCCCGU
rnacentral:rRNA from 1 species